rnacentral:rRNA from 1 species
GAUGAACGCUGGCGGCGUGCCUAAUACAUGCAAGUCGAGCGAACAGAUGAGGAGCUUGCUCCUCUGACGUUAGCGGCGGACGGGGGAGUAACACGCGGAUAACCUACCUUUAAGACUGGGAUAACUUCGGGAAACCGGGGCUAAUACCGGAUAAUAUAUUGAACCGCAUGGUUCAAUAGUGAAAGACGGUUUUGCUGUCACUUAUAGAUGGAUCCGCGCCGCAUUAGCUAGUUGGUAAGGUAACGGCUUACCAAGGCAACGAUGCGUAGCCGACCUGAGAGGGUGAUCGGCCACACUGGAACUGAGACACGGUCCAGACUCCUACGGGAGGCAGCAGUAGGGAAUCUUCCGCAAUGGGCGAAAGCCUGACGGAGCAACGCCGCGUGAGUGAUGAAGGUCUUCGGAUCGUAAAACUCUGUUAUUAGGGAAGAACAAAUGUGUAAGUAACUAUGCACGUCUUGACGGUACCUAAUCAGAAAGCCACGGCUAACUACGUG